rnacentral:rRNA from 1 species
UACGUAGGGCGCAAGCGUUGUCCGGAAUUAUUGGGCGUAAAGAGCUCGUAGGCGGCCAGUUGCGUCUGCUGUGAAAUCCCGGGGCUCAACCCCGGGCGUGCAGUGGAUACGGGCUGGCUAGAGGCAGGCAGGGGAGAACGGAAUUCCCGGUGUAGCGGUGAAAUGCGCAGAUAUGUGGAGGAAUACCGAUGGCGAAGGCAGCCCCCUGGGCCAAUACUGACGCUCAUGCACGAAAGCGUGGGGAGCAAACAGG